rnacentral:rRNA from 1 species
AUUGAACGCUGGCGGCAGGCUUAACACAUGCAAGUCGAGCGGGGGAAGGUAGCUUGCUACUGGACCUAGCGGCGGACGGGUGAGUAAUGCUUAGGAAUCUGCCUAUUAGUGGGGGACAACAUCUCGAAAGGGAUGCUAAUACCGCAUACGUCCUACGGGAGAAAGCAGGGGAUCUUCGGACCUUGCGCUAAUAGAUGAGCCUAAGUAGGAUUAGCUAGUUGGUGGGGUAAAGGCCUACCAAGGCGACGAUCUGUAGCGGGUCUAAGAGGAUGAUCCGCCACACUGGGACUGAGACACGGCCCAGACUCCUACGGGAGGCAGCAGUGGGGAAUAUUGGACAAUGGGGGGAACCCUGAUCCAGCCAUGCCGCGUGUGUGAAGAAGGCCUUAUGGUUGUAAAGCACUUUAAGCGAGGAGGAGGCUACUUUAGUUAAUACCUAGAGAUAGUGGACGUUACUCACAGAAUAAGCACCGGCUAACUCUGUGCCAGCCGCCGCCGUAAAAC